UGUUAUCCUGAUUCCUUGCCUGAUGUGUGAUGCGAAAGAUAGAAGUUACAUAUCUCAAUUCGUGUUAUCUCAGAUCUGUGUCGGAUGUAAUGGGAUUAUUUGGUAAUUAGGUAUAAGUGACACUUGUAUUGCCUGAAGGGGUUUACUCACGGAUGGAGCUCCUAGUCCAUUAAUUACCUUUUCUAAUGUUUAACGCAUUUCUUGNACUUGUAUUGCCUGAAGGGGUUUACUCACGGAUGGAGCUCCUAGUCCAUUAAUUACCUUUUCUAAUGUUUAACGCAUUUCUUGGUGAUUGUUUUAAUUUUCCC
rnacentral:lncRNA from 1 species